UCAGCAUCACUGCAACUGCAGCAUUUUGCAGAGCAAGAGGAACUGACAGGCACACAAAGCACUGUGAGAAUGAGUUAUAAUGGGAGAUGCCAGGCAUAAAAUCAUGAUCCUACCCAGAAAGGGGGCACGAAAGGGAAGCAACAGGUCUGCAGAUGUGCAUCACCAAACCAACAAAAAGGAGGCUGGAUUUCAAAGAAUAACUCAGUUACAUAAAGGAAUGAAAAGCAGCAUGGAACUGGAAAAAAAUGAAAAAUAAACCCAGGAAUGUUGCAGAUGAUAGUCCAACACUCCCCA